rnacentral:rRNA from 1 species
AUACCAGCACACCGAGUGGUCGGAACGAUUAUUGGGCCUAAAGCAUCCGUAGCCGGUGUAGCAAGUCCUCCGGUAAAUCCACUUGCUCAACAAGUGGGCUGCGGAGGAUACUGCUACACUAGGGGGCGGGAGAGGCGAGGGGUAUUCCACGGGUAGGGGUAAAAUCCUCUGAUCCGUGGAGGACCACCAGUGGCGAAGGCGCCUCGCCAGAACGCGCCCGACGGUGAGGGAUGAAAGCUGGGGGAGCAAACCGGAUUAGAAACCCUAGUAGUCC